GAUUAACGCUGGCGGCAUGCCUAAUACAUGCAAGUCGAACGGAAGCAGCAAUGCUUUAGUGGCGAACGGGUGAGUAACACGUAGGGAACCUACCUAUACGACGAGGAUAACUACUGGAAACGGUAGCUAAAACUGGAUAGGAUCAAUUGAGGCAUCUUGAUUGAUUUAAAGAUCCUUCGGGAUUACGUAGAGAUGGCCCUGCGGCGCAUUAGCUAGUUGGUGAGGUAACGGCCACCAAGGCGACGAUGCGUAGCUGAGCUGAGAGGCUAAACAGCCACACUGGGACUGAGACACGGCCCAGACUCCUACGGGAGGCAGCAGUAGGGAAUUUUCGGCAAUGGGGGAAACCCUGACCGAGCAAUGCCGCGUGAACGAUGAAGGUCUUCGGAUUGUAAAGUUCUGUGAUUGGGGAAGAAUGGUAUUCUUAGGGAAUGAGGAGUACAUGACGGUACCCGAUUAGAAAGCCCCGGCUAACUAUGUGCCAGCAGCCGCGGUAAUU
rnacentral:rRNA from 1 species